rnacentral:rRNA from 1 species
GAUGAACGCUAGCGGGAGGCCUAACACAUGCAAGCUGAGCGGUAUUUGUCUUUCGGGACAGAGAGAGCGGCGUACGGGUGCGUAACACGUGUGCAACCUGCCUUUAUCAGGAGGAUAGCCUUUCGAAAGGAGAUUAAUACUCCAUAAUAUAUUAAUUGGCAUCAAUUGAUAUUGAAAACUCCGGUGGAUAAAGAUGGGCACGCGCAAGAUUAGAUAGUUGGUGAGGUAACGGCUCACCAAGUCGAUGAUCUUUAGGGGGCCUGAGAGGGUGAGUCCCCACACUGGUACUGAGACACGGACCAGACUCCUACGGGAGGCAGCAGUGAGGAAUAUUGGACAAUGGUUAGCGCCUGAUCCAGCCAUCCCGCGUGAAGGAUUAAGGACCUAUGGUUUGU